AUUGAACGCUGCCGGCAUGCUUUACACAUGCAAGUCGACGGCAGCGGGGUAGUGCUUGCACUACUGCCGGCGAGUGGCGAACGGGUGAGUAACAUAUCGGAACGUACCGAGCAGUGGGGGAUAACUAAUCGAAAGAUUAGCUAAUACCGCAUAUAUUCUGAGGAAGAAAGCAGGGGACCUUUGGGCCUUGCGCUGUUUGAGCGGCCGAUAUCUGAUUAGCUGGUUGGUGGGGUAAAGGCCUACCAAGGCGACGAUCAGUAGCGGGUCUGAGAGGAUGAUCCGCCACACUGGGACUGAGACACGGCCCAGACUCCUACGGGAGGCAGCAGUGGGGAAUUUUGGACAAUGGGGGCAACCCUGAUCCAGCCAUGCCGCGUGUCUGAAGAAGGCUUCGGGUUGUAAAGGGCUUUUGUCCGGGAAGAAAAGCGCGAUGUUAAUACCAUUGCGUGCUGACGGUACGGAAGAAUAAGCACGGUA
rnacentral:rRNA from 1 species